UGGGGAAUAUUGCACAAUGGGCGGAAGCCUGAUGCAGCGACGCCGCGUGGGGGAUGACGGCCUUCGGGUUGUAAACUCCUUUCGACAGGGACGAAGCGUAUGUGACGGUACCUGUAUAAGAAGCACCGGCUAACUACGUGCCAGCAGCCGCGGUAAUACGUAGGGUGCGAGCGUUGUCCGGAAUUACUGGGCGUAAAGAGCUCGUAGGUGGUUUGUCGCGUCGUCUGUGAAAUUCCGGGGCUUAACUUCGGGCGUGCAGGCGAUACGGGCAUAACUUGAGUGCUGUAGGGGUAACUGGAAUUCCUGGUGUAGCGGUGAAAUGCGCAGAUAUCAGGAGGAACACCGAUGGCGAAGGCAGGUUACUGGGCAGUUACUGACGCUGAGGAGCGAAAGCAUGGGUAGCAAACAGG
rnacentral:rRNA from 1 species